GCACUUUCAGCGAGGAGGAAGGCAUCAAAGUUAAUAGCUUUGGUGAUUGACGUUACUCGCAGAAGAAGCACCGGCUAACUCCGUGCCAGCAGCCGCGGUAAUACGGAGGGUGCAAGCGUUAAUCGGAAUUACUGGGCGUAAAGCGCACGCAGGCGGUUUGUUAAGUCAGAUGUGAAAUCCCCGAGCUUAACUUGGGAACUGCAUUUGAAACUGGCAAGCUAGAGUCUUGUAGAGGGGGGUAGAAUUCCAGGUGUAGCGGUGAAAUGCGUAGAGAUCUGGAGGAAUACCGG
rnacentral:rRNA from 1 species